GAUGAACGCUGGCGGCGUGCUUAACACAUGCAAGUCGAACGGUGAAGCAGGAGCUUGCUCCUGUGGAUCAGUGGCGAACGGGUGAGUAACACGUGGGCAACCUGCCCUUUAGUCAGGAAUAACCCCGCGAAAGCGGGGCUAAUACCGGAUAAUGUCCUCUGGGGGCAUCCUGGGGGGACCAAAGGGGGCGAGCGUAAGCGGCUCCCGCUGAAGGAUGGGCCUGCGGCUGAUUAGCUAGUUGGUGGGGUAGCGGCCUACCAAGGCGACGAUCAGUAGCCGACCUGAGAGGGUGACCGGCCACACUGGGACUGAGACACGGCCCAGACUCCUACGGGAGGCAGCAGUGGGGAAUAUUGCGCAAUGGGCGAAAGCCUGACGCAGCGACGCCGCGUGGGUGAUGAAGGCCUUCGGGUCGUAAAACCCUGUCGGGUGGAACGAAUUCCGCUUCGCUAAUACCGGAGCGGCUUGACGGUACCACCGAAGGAAGCCCCGGCUAACUAC
rnacentral:rRNA from 1 species